CAGCAGCCACGGGAAUACGUAGGGUGCGAGCGUUAAUCGGAAUUACUGGGCGUAAAGCGUGCGCAGGCGGUUGCGUAAGACAGGUGUGAAAUCCCCGGGCUUAACCUGGGAACUGCGCUUGUGACUGCACAGCUAGAGUAUGGCAGAGGGGGGUGGAAUUCCACGUGUAGCAGUGAAAUGCGUAGAGAUGUGGAGGAACACCGAUGGCGAAGGCAGCCCCCUGGGCCAAUACUGACGCUCAUGCACGAAAGCGUGGGGAGCAAACAGGAUUAGAUACCCCAGUAGUCCCUGUCUCUUAUAA
rnacentral:rRNA from 1 species